AGUUUGAUCAUGGCUCAGGACGAACGCUGGCGGCGUGCCUAAUACAUGCAAGUCGAGCGGACAGAAGGGAGCUUGCUCCCGGAUGUUAGCGGCGGACGGGUGAGUAACACGUGGGUAACCUGCCUGUAAGACUGGGAUAACUCCGGGAAACCGGAGCUAAUACCGGAUAGUUCCUUGAACCGCAUGGUUCAAGGAUGAAAGACGGUUUCGGCUGUCACUUACAGAUGGACCCGCGGCGCAUUAGCUAGUUGGUGAGGUAACGGCUCACCAAGGCGACGAUGCGUAGCCGACCUGAGAGGGUGAUCGGCCACACUGGGGCUGAGACACGGCCCAGACUCCUACGGGAGGCAGCAGUAGGGAAUCUUCCGCAAUGGACGAAAGUCUGACGGAGCAACGCCGCGUGAGUGAUGAAGGUUUUCGGAUCGUAAAGCUCUGUUGUUAGGGAAGAACAAGUGCAAGAGUAACUGCUUGCACCUUGACGGUACCUAACCAGAAAGCCACGGCUAACUACGUGCCAGCAGCCGCGGUAAUACGUAGGUGGCAAGCGUUGUCCGGAAUUAUUGGGCGUAAAGGGCUCGCAGGCGGUUUCUUAAGUCUGAUGUGAAAGCCCCCGGCUCAACCGGGGAGGGUCAUUGGAAACUGGGAAACUUGAGUGCAGAAGAGGAGAGUGGAAUUCCACGUGUAGCGGUGAAAUGCGUAGAGAUGUGGAGGAACACCAGUGGCGAAGGCGACUCUCUGGUCUGUAACUGACGCUGAGGAGCGAAAGCGUGGGGAGCGAACAGGAUUAGAUACCCUGGUAGUCCACGCCGUAAACGAUGAGUGCUAAGUGUUAGGGGGUUUCCGCCCCUUAGUGCUGCAGCUAACGCAUUAAGCACUCCGCCUGGGGAGUACGGUCGCAAGACUGAAACUCAAAGGAAUUGACGGGGGCCCGCACAAGCGGUGGAGCAUGUGGUUUAAUUCGAAGCAACGCGAAGAACCUUACCAGGUCUUGACAUCCUCUGACAACCCUAGAGAUAGGGCUUUCCCUUCGGGGACAGAGUGACAGGUGGUGCAUGGUUGUCGUCAGCUCGUGUCGUGAGAUGUUGGGUUAAGUCCCGCAACGAGCGCAACCCUUGAUCUUAGUUGCCAGCAUUCAGUUGGGCACUCUAAGGUGACUGCCGGUGACAAACCGGAGGAAGGUGGGGAUGACGUCAAAUCAUCAUGCCCCUUAUGACCUGGGCUACACACGUGCUACAAUGGACAGAACAAAGGGCUGCGAGACCGCAAGGUUUAGCCAAUCCCACAAAUCUGUUCUCAGUUCGGAUCGCAGUCUGCAACUCGACUGCGUGAAGCUGGAAUCGCUAGUAAUCGCGGAUCAGCAUGCCGCGGUGAAUACGUUCCCGGGCCUUGUACACACCGCCCGUCACACCACGAGAGUUUGCAACACCCGAAGUCGGUG
rnacentral:rRNA from 1 species